CCCUUAGAUGUUCUGGGCUGCACGCGCGCUACACUGAUGCACUCAUCGAGUUUAUGACCUUGUCCGAUAGGAUUGGGUAAUCUUCUUAAAAUGCAUCGUGAUGGGGAUAGAUUAUUGCAAUUAUUAAUCUUCAACGAGGAAUUCCUAGUAAGCGCGAGUCAUCAGCUCGUGCUGAUUACGUCCCUGCCCUUUGUACACACCGCCCGUCGCUCCUACCAAUUGAGUGAUCCGGUGAAUAAUUCGGACUGCAGCAAUGUUUGGAUCCCGAACGUUGCAGUGGAAAGUUUAGUGAACCUUAUCACUUAGAGGAAGGAGAAGUCGUAACA
rnacentral:rRNA from 1 species